UACGGAGGGUGCGAGCGUUGUCCGGAAUCACUGGGCGUAAAGGGCGCGUAGGCGGCGCGAGCAGUCGGUCGUGAAAGUCCGGAGCUCAACUCCGGAUCGGCGGUCGAUACUCUCGUGCUUGAGCACUGUAGAGGCAGGUGGAAUUCCGGGUGUAGCGGUGGAAUGCGUAGAGAUCCGGAAGAACACCAGUGGCGAAGGCGCUCUGCUAGGCCGUAACUGACACUGAGGGACGAAAGCUAGGGGAGCGAAUGGG
rnacentral:rRNA from 1 species